GAUGAACGCUGGCGGCGUGCCUAAUACAUGCAAGUCGAGCGAACAGACGAGGAGCUUGCUCCUCUGACGUUAGCGGCGGACGGGUGAGUAACACGUGGAUAACCUACCUAUAAGACUGGGAUAACUUCGGGAAACCGGAGCUAAUACCGGAUAACAUGUUGAACCGCAUGGUUCAACAGUGAAAGACGGUCUUGCUGUCACUUAUAGAUGGAUCCGCGCCGCAUUAGCUAGUUGGUAAGGUAACGGCUUACCAAGGCAACGAUGCGUAGCCGACCUGAGAGGGUGAUCGGCCACACUGGAACUGAGACACGGUCCAGACUCCUACGGGAGGCAGCAGUAGGGAAUCUUCCGCAAUGGGCGAAAGCCUGACGGAGCAACGCCGCGUGAGUGAAGAAGGUCUUCGGAUCGUAAAACUCUGUUAUUAGGGAAGAACAAAUGUGUAAGUAACUAUGCACGUCUUGACGGUACCUAAUCAGAAAGCCACGGCUAACUAC
rnacentral:rRNA from 1 species